GACGAACGCUGGCGGCGUGCUUAACACAUGCAAGUCGAACGGAAAGGCCCUUCGGGGUACUCGAGUGGCGAAGGGGUGAGUAACACGUUGGUGAUCUGCCCUGCACUUUGGGAUAAGCCUGGGAAACUGGGUCUAAUACCGAAUAGGACCACGCGCUACUUGGUGUGUGGUGGCAAGCGUUUGCGGCGUGGGAUGGGCCCGCGGCCUAUCAGCUUGUUGGUGGGGUAAUGGCAUACCAAGGCGAAGACGGGUAGCCGGCCGGAGAGGGUGACCGGCCACACUGGGACUGAGAUACGGCCCAGACUCCUACGGGAGGCAGCAGGGGGGAAUAUUGCACAAUGGGCGCAAGCCUGAUGCAGCGACGCCGCGUGAGGGAUGACGGCCUUCGGGUUGUAAACCUCUUUCAAUAGGGACGAAGCGCAAGUGACGGUACCUAUAGAAGAAGCACCGGCUAACUACGUG
rnacentral:rRNA from 1 species